rnacentral:lncRNA from 1 species
CUUAACACUGAGCCCCAGGAUCAGGCAGUGUCAAUAUCUUUCCAUGGAAAUCUGGCUCACACAAGAGGAGAAAAGAGGCCAAAGGGAAGAAAGACUAAACCAGGGGAGAUCGCAGGCAGGAGGAAGGCCACCGGGUCGUCGCCAAAUUGAGGGAGGAGAAGCCCCGGAGCCCAGACACCUCCAUCUCGGAGAGGGGGGAAGCUGCGCACAGGCGGCUGCCUCACCUCUUUGUCAAGCCGACGGCCUCAGCCUCAGACACUAGGAAGUCCUCGCCUUGGAGUGAAAGAGGGGCGCCGCGGGCCGCCCCUCCCCCCGCCCCUAUGACACGCGGGCCCUGCCUCGGGCGACCUGUUGGCAGGGCGCAUCACGUGACGCGGCGGGCCGCGCUGUCCCCGCGGGCGGGCCUCCUGUUGCGCCCGCCGGGCGGGUUCCACCACGUAGCGCGCGGGCGCCGCCCCGCUCUUCCCUCGCCGGAG